GGGCCCGUAGGGUAGCUUGGUCGAUCCUUUUAGCUUUGGGAGCUAGAGACUCCAGUUCAAAUCUGGGCGGGCCCA
rfam:Thermoplasmatales archaeon SG8-52-2 WOR_8-12_3000, whole genome shotgun sequence.